CCAUGCUAGUCAGGCUGCUCUCGAACUCCUGACCUCAAGUGAUCUGCUCAGCUUGACCUCCCAAAAUGUUGGGAUUACGGGCGUGAGCCACUGCACCCAACCGGUUUUUUACUAAAUUUUAAAAAUUACAAGGUUAAAAUACAAUGAAACACUCAAGGAAUUGCAUCAACCAUCUCUUUUGUACAGACUGAGAUGACUCUCCUGGUGACCCUGAACUCGCAGGGGCAGCAGGUGGAAAUGUACAUUCACUACUUGGUGGAAAGAAGUCUGAACUGGGGAAGUAUUUAUACAUAUGUGAAAUUCCAAUGUACUAGGGUGUUCUGUAUUUUAUCUGGUAACCCUGGGGGCAGUCCUAUGAGCUGUGGGGCACCUGCCCUGGAGACUGAGGCAGGGAGUCAAAGCGACAUGAGAUUGGGGAUAGGUUUUGCAUGUCCAUGGAAAGGGCUUGUGAUGAAUUUGAAAGAUUGAGAAACAGAGGAAUCAAGGGCGACUUCUUGGUUUUAAACUUCAGCACCCGGUGCCCUUUACUGAGAUGGAGAAGAUGGGAGGGGAGUGGGUUUCAAGUGUGUUGUGAUAUGGACAGCUCUUAUUGAUCGGGUGUGGUGGGCGUCCAAAUGGAGAUGUGGAAGUUUGAUUCUGAGUGAGCUCAAUAUCGUCGUGGUGUGUUCUACCAUAUCCCUUCUAGCCCUCUCCGCGCUUUCUCCCAUCUAGUGUUUCCCUGCUCAAAUGGAAGGAGAGAGGAACAACUUAGAGCACAGUGUGACUGGGGCAAGCUACCUUCGAGGUAAUCAUUUAAACACCAGCUAGGCUGCUGCAAGAAAAGAAAUGAUGGUAAAAAUAAAUGUACUCCAAAGGAAUUUGACUAAAGAAUAUUUCAUUGUGUAACAGAUUUCUGUGUGCCCCUUUUGCAAUGUAUCUUUAAGGAUGCGUUGCUAGGCAUAAUGAAACAAAAUGUUUUUCGCAAUGAAGUGGUUAUUUUGCAAUGAAAGCCAGUCAAGGAAAGAAAUCAGGCUGGGGAUACUCCUAGUCACAACCUUUAUAAAAUCUAACAUUAUGGUUAGACCAUACCAUGCCUGCGCUUAAGUAGUUUUUGAAAAUUUGACCCAAAUAAGAAAUUCUUGGCUGGGCACGAUGGCUUAUGCCUGUAAUCCCGCACUUUGGGAGGUUGAGGCAAGCGGAUCACCUGAGGUCCAGGAGUUCGAGACCAGCCUGGCCAACAUGGUGAAAUCCUCUCGCUACUAAAAAUACAAAAAAUUAGCUGGGCAUGGUGGCACACGCCUGUAAUUCCAGCUACUCAGGAGGCUGAGGCAGGAGAAUCGCUUGAACCCGGGAGGCAGAGGUUGCAGUGAGCUGAGAUUACGCCACUGCAUUCCAGCCUGGGUGACAGAGUGAGACUCCAUCUAAAAAAAAAAAAAAAAAAAAACCAGAAAAGAAAAGAAAUUCUUUCAUUAUAAGGAAAAAAGAAAUGCACAUAAGCACAGUUACAAUAUUAUAUUUCCUGAUGAAAAAAUAUAUUUUUUAAUGGACUACAAAUAUUAUAAUUUUUCUUAAAAUGGCCCUUGUGUAAAAAGUUUAUUCCCCUUGACUUUACUUUUAUGUAGUAAUGAAAUUUCAUAAUUAAAUCUAUAUUUGGUAUUAUCAAUAUUUAACCACUAGAAGAACUGAUGAUGCUACUUAUUAAAAAUGACAAAUGAUGUAAUAGAGUUAGUGGGAUGUCUGCCUGUUGAAACCAUUUUAUUAGGUAAGUAUUUUGAUUACAAAGGGGUUGGAUAUAAACUGGCCUUAUAUCCAAAAAGCUUUUUGCAAAAAUCAAAACUGGAUAUAUCCCGUGACCAUUUCCUUUCCCCCCAGCCCCUCUGUUAAAAUCUUUUAGCAAAAAGGUUUUACCAAAUAAUUUACAUUGAAAUAUAAAUAGUUUUAAAGUUUGCUAUGUUGCUUUCUUUCCAAAGGUAUUCAGAUUUUAGUAGGGGAUAGAAGUGUCCCCUAAGUCAAGUGAGUAUAAGAAUUACCUAUAUUGUUUGCUACAAAUGCAAAUGCCCACAGCCCCCUUGUAAAGUCUCAUUCAGGGCUACCUACUGCAGGGCCCAAGAAUCUGUAUUUUUAACAAAUAUUCUGGUCAUUCUUGGGACUGGCAAAUCUAGAAAACACCAGCUUGAAUAAAACGAUUAAAGUUGUCCUUGCUGAAUUUCAACUACAUUAAAGGUACCAGUGCUGGAGGAGAUUUUUGAGGGGUUGAGGAGAAAUAAUUACACCUAAAUUAUUUUAUUAAUGAAAUGAUUCAGCAAAGUGUAAAUGCCUGUAAUGGGCUUGGCAGUGUCCUGGGUGCUGAAGGUACUGAGUGGAAUAGGACAUGAGACAAGUGCUGUGCUUGAAAUAAGCACAGACGUGGAAGAAGGGUUGUGUAGUUUUGUCUGGGGAUUCGGCACAGUUUUUACGGAGGAUGUGGUCUGUGAAAUGGGUGAUUUGAAACAUGAAGGAGGCUGCUUAUGGGUUGGGUUAUUCUGGGAAGCAAGCAAGUGCGAGGGCACCAGAAGGUAUGAAGGGCCUUGGAGUAUUGGGCUUCCUUAUGGCUGCUAGAGAGAAUGAGUUGGAAUGAGAUGUGCAGCUUAUGAAACCAGGAAGACAGCUUAUUGUGGAGGAAUGACUUGCUAAGCUCUAUCAGAUGAGCAAUGAGCAGCGAGGAAAUGGGAGAGAUGAAAUCAUGGCUGCUUUUGGAAAGAUAAGUGGACUAGCAUGCAGCAUGGAGAAUGGAGAGGUGGAGGGUUGUUGGUGUGUGUGUGUGUGUGUGUGUGUUUGUGUGUGUGCACGUACGACAGAGAGAGAAAGAAGAGGGGAUAUGAAUGGCAUGGGAAAUAAGAGAAAGGCAGGCCAGGUCAGAGGAUUUUUAGGAUGGCUGGUGAGGUGCAGGAGGGUCUGGAGGUCAGCUGUGGGGAGGAGAAGAGAUUGAGGACUCAGGCACUAAUCUAAGGGGAAGGGGGACACUGUAUUCUAAGGGGGCCGGCCCUGCUGCUCCCUGUAAGCACUUUAUGUAUUUGACAUGAAAUAUACUGAGACGGCCCCCAUACUUUAGGGUGCAAAUGCUCCCCUAAAGUGAGAGUGGAAGAAGAAAAAAGGAGAAGGCUCUUGUUUGCUCGUGUGAGCCGUGUACAGUUCCUUUAGAGCUCAGAGAGGCACUGUGCAGUGAAUCAAGCCAGGUCAGCUGCUGGGACUAGGGGCCUGGGUAGGUCACAGCCCUGCCGGCCAUCCACAUGCCUUCCAGGAUCAACCCAAUCUCUGGAACGUUUCCUGAGGCCUCCAUUUUCAGCAAUUUUGUUGGGAAUCCAGAUAACAGAAUGGCCAUAGUGGUGAUUAUGUUCCUUCUACCUCCUUUCCCUCCUCACCUUCCCCUUCCAGACAUGAGAAAACAGUUUCACUACAAUAUCCAGUAGAUUUACCUAAUUGGUAAAAUAAGAAAGGCCAAAGAAUUUGCUAUUCUCUUCACUCCCACCCCUCCUGUUCAUUUUGCUUGUAACAAUAGAGCCAAGUUUCAAACAAAUGUAGAAAAGGUGAGCAAUGCUAAUGAUGUGUUUCAGAUGGGAUUCAGGGACAACUCAACUUGAAAUUGCCUCUUAGCCAUCUGUUUGUGUGCCUGGGGUUUCACCUGCUUUGAAUUAGGGUAAUUUAAUAAUUGCCAAUUAGACUGGGAGAGUACAAAUGGUUUUGUUAAUUAGAUUAAAAAGUUACAUUUUAUAAUACUUACUGUAUUAACCAUGGGCUGAUGACACUGCUUGUACUCUGUGUUAAAGCCUUAUCUAUUAUCUGUUCUUUCUUUUGAAAAUCUCUUUUAUUUCAGUUUCCAUGGCUGUGUUGCAGCUGUCCAGUCUCUCUGGCAUUCUAGAAUGGAUGCUGCCUGCCUUCCAUAUUCCAACUCAUAAGGUUCUUUUCCUGAUGUCUUGUGAACAUACACACUGCAAUUCCAGAUACCAUUAAGCCUCUGCUAUCCAGGUUACUUUGGAUGAUUUUGAAAGAUUUCCAUACAUAAUACUGCUCUGGAAGGGUGCUUGCGAAUAUGGUUCACAAAAGCAGUGAAGACAUGUAUCUACACUGAGGACAGCGAUGUGAGCUACACUGCAACAACUGUUUUAGAUGGCCAGCCUGUGUUUGACGACGAUCCCUGAGUGCCAGAUGUGAAGGAAGAUAUAAAUCCCUCACCGUGUCCUGAAUUCCACAAUGCCUCUCCCUCCUCCCCUGGGAGUGGAGCCCAGGCUGACCUCUCUCUGGCUCCAUCCUGGAAAUGUGUGUGGGAAUGGCAGCAUUGCCCUUUACCCCAUGCCCAAUACUGCAAUGGCACCUUAGGCUGUGUGUGUGUCAGACAGAAAAAUAAAACAUCAGAUUUUUGUUAAUUUUGGGUGAUGAGUGAGGCCAGGGAUAGUUAUUAUUUUGACACUGCUAUUUUUUUUUCUCUUUUUUAAAAACAGAUGGGGCUGGGCACAAUGGCUCAUACCUGUAAUCUCAGCACUUUGAGAGGCUGAGGCAGGUGGAUUAUUUGAGGCCAGGAGUUCAAGACCACCCUGGCCAACACGGUGAAACCCCAUCUCUACUAAAAAUACAAAAAUUAGCCAGGCGCCAUGGUGCAUGCCAGUAAUCCCAGCUACUCAGGAGGCUGAGGCACAAGAAUCACCUGAACCCAGGAGACGAGGCUGCAGUGAGCCAAGAUCACACUACUGCACUCCAGCCUGGGUGAUAGAGUGAGAUUCUGUCUCAAAAAAAAAAAAAGAGAGAGAGAAAGAUGGGAUCUUGCGCUGUCACCCAGGCUGCAGUGCAGUGGUGUGAUUGUAGCUCACUGCAGCCUUGAACUCCUAGGCUCAAGUGAUCGUCCCGCCUCAGCCUCCCAAGUAGCUGGGACUACAGGCAUACACCACCACACCCAGCUAAUUUUAAUUUUUUGUAGAGGUAGGGUCUUGCUAUGUUGCCCAGGCUGGUCUUAAACUUUUGGGCUAAACUGAUCCUCCUGCCUCAGCCUCUCACAGUGCUGGGAUUAUAGGCAUGAACCACCAAAAACUGCUGUUUAAAAGUGUUUAUAUCCUGGAUACACUAACAGCAUUUUGUCCAACUUGUGGAGUGGAAGGAGUAGGGAAGGGGAGGAUAGUGCUAAUGAACUGUGACAGGGGCUAGCAAGAAAGAAAGAAAAAAGAGUUCCCUAAAUAAGCUCCUACUGGAUGUCCUCCACUCACACGGAGCCAGGGCCUUGCCUUUUAGGCACUUACUCUUCCAAUGUCUAUUUUAUAAUAUGUUCAACGAAGGAUCCCAGAUUCAAAGAUUUAUAGAAUUAGAGUUAAAAGGGAUAGAUAUUUUGUUUGACCCUGAAAAAGUUAAGGAAUAUGCUUGAGAUAUUCAAUGGCAGAGGCUGGAAUAGAUUUUCCCAAAUCUCCUGAUGUGAAGUUCUGUGUUUGUCAAACAUGACUGCGUAAAAAGAUUAAUUUAAACUUAA